UACGUAGGUGGCAAGCGUUGUCCGGAUUUACUGGGCGUAAAGAGCGCGCAGGCGGUCGUGCAAGUCGCGUGUGAAAGCCCCCGGCUCAACUGGGGAGGGUCACUCGAUACUGAUCGACUGGAAGGCAGGAGAGGGAAGCGGAAUUCCCGGUGUAGUGGUGAAAUGCGUAGAUAUCGGGAGGAACACCAGUGGCGAAGGCGGCUUCCUGGCCUGUUCUUGACGCUGAGGCGCGAAAGCUAGGGGAGCAAACGGGG
rnacentral:rRNA from 1 species